rnacentral:rRNA from 1 species
UGGGGAAUUUUGCGCAAUGGUCGAAAGACUGACGCAGCGACGCCGCGUGUGGGAGGAAGCCCUUCGGGGUGUAAACCACUGUCAGGGGGGAAGAACACUCAUCUUGCGAACAGCUUGGUGGGCUGACGGUACCCCCAGAGGAAGCGCCGGCUAACUCCGUGCCAGCAGCCGCGGUAAGACGGAGGGCGCAAGCGUUGUUCGGAAUUACUGGGCGUAAAGCGCGGGCAGGUGGUUUGUUAAGUCUUCUGUGAAACUCCGGAGCUCAACUCCGGACAUGCAGAAGAUACUGGCAGACUGGAGUAUGGUAGAGGCAAGCGGAAUUCCUGGUGUAGCGGUGGAAUGCGUAGAUAUCAGGAAGAACACCUGUGGCGAAGGCGGCUUGCUGGGCCAUUACUGACACUCAUCCGCGAAAGCGUGGGGAGCAAACAGGAUUAGAUACCCCCGUAGUCC